rnacentral:rRNA from 1 species
ACAACGACUCUCGGCAACGGAUAUCUCGGCUCUUGCAUCGAUGAAGAACGUAGCGAAAUGCGAUACUUGGUGUGAAUUGCAGAAUCCCGUGAACCAUCGAGUCUUUGAACGCAAGUUGCGCCCGAAGCCCUUAGGCUGAGGGCACGCCUGCCUGGGUGUCACCA